rnacentral:rRNA from 1 species
AUGGGCGGUGAGAGCCGCAACGAUGCCUUCAAUAAUGGAGCGAGCUUCGCCGUCGCCGGUCCGUCAGAAGAUAGAGCAAGUUUUCACCCCGGUCUACACUCACCGCCACCAACCGCUACACCCUGGCAACCACGCCGCCCACACGGUCAUGAUCACCGGGCAGCGCCAAGACACGGGCUCUGCCCAAGAGCACCGUGCACCGCCACCAGGGCCGCCGCCCCGGCAUCCAAGACCUUGAAACCACCACACCCGAGACCCGCCGCUACCCCAACCAAAGAGACGAGCAGAAAAGGAGACGCCUUUGCACCCCUGGCCCACCUCAGCGUCGAGACCCAAUAG